CCAAGCUUUUAUUCCAUUUACCAUGUUAUACUAUGGCUUCAAACACAAGUGUUACAAGCCCAAUUUGCCCGACUCAAAACCCAUUUCUAUAACCCCUAAAGCCAAUUACAGAUAAACUCAAACCUAAUGACCAAUCUAAAACUAAACCUAGCCCACCAAGCCCACAAUUUUUCAAUUCAAAAAAAUCAAAAGGAAACCCUAGGUGAGCCGCACCUAGGUUUGCCCUUGUCCCAUCCACCACCGACGUCUACCACCACCUACUCAGCACCGCCCCAACUACUCCUGCAAGAUAGACACGCAAACAAUAGUGAAAAUGAUAAAAAAUGUAUGUAAUGGCUUUAUAAAAGCCGAAGAGAGGAGAUUGUUUUUUUUCGGAUUUGGUCUUCGUAAAAUACAAAAAGAAACAUCAUCAAAAGACCUCAAAAAUAUUCACUCAAAUCGCAGUAAGAAAUAAAAGACAGAAUCAAAGGUUUACUUUUUUUCUUUUUCAUUUUUCUUUUCUUUUUUUUUCUUUUCCGAAUUUGUUUAUAUAUUCCGAAUCUAUCCUGCUAAAAACAAUAUAUAUAUUAGAUAAAAUAAAAAAUAAAAAUUCCUAGCUUUUGGCGAUUUCCGGCCACCGUACAGCGGAGCCACGAUGGAGGUGGCCGGACCCCUUUGGCCGGUUCUGGGUUUUUCCCCAGAGAGAAAACAACUCCCCCUUUCCCAUUUUUUUCUUGAAACUCGGAGGAAAUGAUGAUUUCACAAAAAAAAAUUUGCUUUUAUAGCUCCUCGGUAUGGUGUCGUUUUAGGGCAAACAUUCAAUACCCAAAAUGGCGUCGUUUAAUCACCUGACCCUAACUCCGACCCGAAAACCGCCUAGGAUCCGCGUGUUUUUGGACUGAGGAUUUAUUUGCGCCCUCAGUCCCUCCAUUUUUGAGGUCGUUUUCAAUGUAGUCCCAUUCCCUUUUUUAUUUUUUUAAUUUCACCUCGGAAUUUCAUUAUUGUUUCAUCUGGGUCCCUGAUCGAAAGGUGCGUUUUGGAUGGAAGGGUUUUAUUUCCCAUUUGGCCCUCCUUGGUUACUCGCACAUUUGCCUGGGUCUAUAUUUUAACCCCAGCAGUUUAUUUUAUUUGUGAAUUAUCCUCCUUAUUUUAAUUUGAUUUCAAUUAGGUUUUGUUUAGAUUCAUUUUUAUAGUUUUCUCUAUUAUUCGUGUUUAUUGAUAUUGAUUGUAUCAUUGCAUAAUUUUGUUUAUUUAUUUGCUGUAGUCUGAUUAAUUGUAAUUUCACUUUUUAUAUAUUGUUCUAUGUUUUAUGCAUUAUUAUAUAUAUGUAUAUAUAUAUACCUCAAAAAUGAAAUUAACUUUAUUCUAUAUAUUAUUAGUAUUAUAUUAUUCAUACAUAUAACCCCUUUUAUAUUUUAAAUACCUAUACUUGUUGAUUAAAAAGAAAUCACAUGUUUUGUACAUUAGUGAAAUUAUUAUUAUACGUAUACGUAAACAUUGGUGCAUACAUCACUAAACUCAUGUAUAUUAUACCUAUAUUUUUUAUAAAUAAAUAUGUUUCUAAGCCCAUUGUAUAACUUAUAAUAAAACUAAUUUAAUCUUAUAUGCAUUUUCCUUUUAUUCUAAACUUAUUUACAUAUAUAUAAUUUGUGAAUCUAAUGUGUUCCUAAAAUUAUAUUUCAUUAUAUACUUUUAUUAUCUUUGCAUAUUUUUUAAUUCUCCUUUAUUGUAUAUAAGUUGUCAAUUUUAAACCAAUAUUCUUUAACCCUCCGUAUAUUAUUCGAUUUAAAAAUAUCCAUUCCAUAACAUAUAUUUUAAAUGAUUACAUAUGUAUCUCUAGUUUUAAAAUCCAUUAAUUCAUGUGUUAUGUAUUACAUGUUUAUCGCUAUUUUUAAUUUUGUUUUAUACCAUAUUAUUCUUUUAAUUUCCAUUUUGUUUUGUAUAUCUCGUAUUAAUUCUGUUAUAUUGGGUUGUAUAUUAUUGUGGCACAUUAUUGUGAGUAUCGUUUUGUUUGAUUUGUUUUGUUGUGAUGUAUUAUUAUAUUAUCAUUUUCGUCCUGUGUCGUUAUAGCAAUUAUCCUCCAUACAUGAUAGAAAUUGGGUUAUAUUUUUUAGGUUGGUCAUAUUCAAUUGUUUAUUUUAUUAGUUGAUUAUAUAAGGCUACAUUAUCUUCAUUCAUCAAUUAUUGUGUUUGGUGCGUGUAUUGUAUCAUGAUCAUUGUUUUAUUUUUGGUUUACGAAAUAUUGUUUUAUAAGGUCCAACUCUUCAAGAUUAAUUCUUCCAUCUUAUUUCAAGUAAAAUUAAUGCGUUUUAAGCCAGUUUUAUGAUUAAUCAUUUAGAAAUUCCUUAAAACGAAGGCAAUGUUUGAUGUUUGGCAAUUCGAGGAAUCGUGCCCUAUCAUGUUGGGUUGCAAUUUUCUGUUUGUUCGAAACAAUCGAAUAUUCCUUUGGUAUUUCACUCAUGCCUUUAAAAAUUCUCUAAAACGAAGGAAAUGUUUGAUGCUUGGCAAUUCGGGGAGUUGUGCCCUAUCGUGCUGGGUUGCAAUUUUUCGUUUGUUCAAAAUGAUCAAACGUCCCUUUUGAAUUUCACUCAUAUUUUCUAAAUUCUACAACAAGGCAAUGUUCAAUGUUUAGAAAUUCGAGGAAUCGUGCCCUACUGUACUGGGUUUCAUUUUUUUUCGUCGGGCUAAAUAAUUGGACAUUCUUUUAUAGUUUUCAACAUAUAAACUUUUAAAAGUCAAAACUCAUCGUGUUUUUGAGGGUAUAAAGGAUCGUGUCCUAUCGUGCUGGAUGUGAUGCUGUAUUCCUCCGAAACAAGAAAAUUUUGACGACCAACUUGAGCCAUUCAAAUGCUUCAAAACGAACCAUAUUUCAAAAAUAGCUUUAAAACUUAGACAUAAGGACAAUACUUAAUCGAUUUGGUGCCAAUUUUGGGCGUAGUGAGGGUGCUAAUCCUUCCUCAUACGUAACCGACUCCCAAACUUAUUUUCUCAUGUUUACGUAAGCCAAAAUCGAUUUUAAUAAAACAAAGUGUUAUUAGGUGACCCAAUCAUACCUAAAUAAAAGAUUGGUGGUGACUCCACGUUUUGUUUUCAAAAAGUCGAUCCCCGUUUUCAAAAAAAUGGUUUCGACAGCUUGGCGACUCCACUGGGGAUUUCAAUAAGAGAGUCAAGCUAUAAAAUUGAUUAUCUGCUGUCCUUUUGUCAGUUGAUUGAAAAUUUGUUUUGAAAAAUCAUGAUUUCUUCAAUUGCAUUCGAUUGUAUGAUUGUUAUGGCUCGGGUCUUGUAAAAUAACAUUGCAUUGCAUUGCAUGACCGCUGUGGUCACACAUUCUAAGUCGGAGUAAGAAACUAUGCUUUCGUGAGGUUUUCACCUCCGCAUGGGCUAGUGGAUUACUUCCGGGAUACAUCCGUACCUAUGAUUUUGUGAGAUUUUCAUCUCCGCAUGGUCAUAGGGAAAUGUAUUCCCCUGAUCCGAACUCGACCCAUAUGAGCCUAUAAUAGGUAAGGAUCGAGGAAUCUGCUGGCUCGGGUCUCCUUACUCUAGAACCAACCACAUAUAGGGAACCCUAAGAGCCUUCUUUAGGUGGAGUUAGGUUUAAUUGUAGUGGUCGUCCAUAUAAAUACGCUUUGAUUAUCUUUAUUUGCUUGUAUUUUAUUAUUAACACUUGAUACUGACUUGUCUUGUUUUAAUUGUAUUUUGCAUAACAUUGCAUACUAAAGGAGGUGUUGAUUCGUAUUCGAUUACUAAGUUAGAAAGUUUAACAUGGAGAAUGAAUUUCUUGGUAAAGUUAAGGAUAAUGCGGCCGUCCGCGCAUAGUCAGAGAAGUUACAAUCGGAGAAAGGGGAUAGCUUGACAGAAGGAUAUACAUCAGAAUUGCAGGAAUUCACUCGCGUCAAUGUAGCACAGAAUGAGUUGCAAGAGUUGAGAGAUAUCUGGGCUCGUUGGGAUGAAGGAACCAAACAGUUGUUCUAUAAAAGCUAUGGUGAUAUAUCUUACUUGCUAGAUAUUAAGGUGAACAAGCACCUGUUCCGAGUUAUGGUUCAAUUUUGGAAUUCUGCUUACAAGUGUUUCACUUUUGGGGAAGUGGAUUUAGUGCCUACCGUAGAGGAAUAUACUACCCUGCUUAGGUGUCCAAAAAUGCAAGUUAGAAAAGCUUAUGCCAAGGUUUUUAAUGGUCAAACCUUUACGAAGAAAUUGAUGAACAUUUCAGGGAUGAGCGAGCCUUGGGUCAAUCCUCGGAUUCAACAAAAGGGAGAUAGUAAAUGUAUCCCUUGGGAGAAUUUGAGAGAUUUGGUUUUAACACAUCCGGAUGAAAGAAAGAGGGUCGAUAUCUUCACCUUAAGCAUCUAUGGAUUGGUAAUUUUUCCUAAGACUUUAAGGCACGUGGAUGAGACAGUCACUGACUUAUUCGAUCGUCCUGAGAAGGGAAUCACACCAGUACUGGCAAUAUUGGCUGAGACAUUCAAAUCCUUGAGCACAUGUCAGAAGACGGGCGAGGGACAGUUUAUUGGAUGCACACAAUUGUUGAUUGUGUGGUUUCAUGGGCACUUUUGGAAAGUAGACAAGGUUUCUUAUCGGGUCUUUGCUGAAGGUUAUUCCCCGUUGAAAGAUGAGGCAGCCAUACAAAGGAGAGAGGAUAUCUUGGAGGAGAAGUGGAUGAAAAUUCUUCAAAGCCUUAAGAAAGGGGAUAUCGAGUGGAGAGCAUAUUGGAUGGUUCCUGAUGAGAUCAUGUAUCGAUGUGGUAACUUUGAUUGGGUGCGAUUGUUAGGAAUUUGGGGAGCUACGGGUAUACCCCAUUACUUACAUUAAGACAAUAUAAAUUGAGGUAGUUUGUGCCCACAACCUAUGAACUUGCUCAGUGUGAAUUCUCUUUCAAAGGUGCCCACUAUAAAAAGAAAGUUCGGGAGCUAUCCGAUGCUUGGAAGCAAACUCGUUGGAUGAAGAUGAUGGCUGUCGGUUCUAUGGUGACGCCCGAGUAUGAUGGAUGGUUUAAGAAGAGGGUUAAUGAUAAUGUUCCUAGGCCAAGCUUGGAGAAUACUCAACCUAUGGUAGAACAAUUACGAGUCGCCCCGUCAGAGUUGGAAAUUAUAAAACAAGACUUCGAGAAGAAGAGUUCAGAGCUUGGGAAAAAGAUCGAACAAUUGGAAGAAGAGAAGAUGCACAUAAGAUUAAACGCUGAUGUCUAGAGGUCAGAGGCUAAAAAGUGGAGAAAGGGGAAAACUAAGGCCGAAGAGGAUCUAGACAGUUUGAAAACUGACUAUAAGAAGUUACGCCAGUCUAUGAAGACUGCGGGGUUAGGUAAGACUUUCGAACAAUGGCGCCAUGAAAUUCGAGAAGAAAAGACCAAGGCCAAUCGAUGGGAAAGGAAAUUCCGAGAAGCUCAGACACGAAAUGAAGAUCUAAAGAAGAGUCUGUUGGAAAGCAGAAAUGAGCGAGGUGAAUUAAAGGUUAGAGUGGCAAAACUCGAGAAGUCUCUUCAUCAAUACCGAAACCGCAACACCGCAAUGGAAUUGAGGGCGAGCUUGAGCAAGAUAGAAGAAAUGAGAGGAAAAAUAGAAGAAUUAGAAACGUCACUGCAAAACUGUGAUAUGCGGAUUCAGUUGUUCGAGGCAAAUGAGGACCGUUGGAAAGAGCAGCUUAACCAUGCGCAAGAUCAAGUCAGAAAUAGAGAUUACAUUAUGGGAGAAGCCAAAACCCAGAUUCGGGAGGUAACUGAUUACUUGCAAGCUUUGGUAGUACAAGCGGACAUACUGGGAGUGAAAUACGAGUUGGAGUCAGAUCGGAGGCAAGAGCUAGCCUCAUUAUUUAAGAAAAUUAAGGCUAUGAGCAUUAGGGCGAAGUCUUAUUUUUAACUCAAUUUUAUGUAAAGACUUUUAUUUUCUAGUCAAGUUUUCUAAAUGGAAUUGAAUCAAAAUUGAUACCUCAUUUGCAUUCAUGCAUUUGCAUUACAUUACUCCGUAUGCAUUAAAGACCAUAAAAAGAUUCUAAUUAAUUAAAAAUGUUUCAGUAAUCUGGAAACCAACGAAAAUCUCUCAAGUGCACAUCCCUACAGUACAAGAAGAAAAACUUAAGCAAUGGAUAAAAAAUUAGAAAGACUAGAACAAAUGCAGAAAGUGAUGCAGGAGCAGAUGCAAGCACAAGUUCAAGAACAGUUAGCUAAAAUCCAGUAAGAAAUGAGGGAUCAAAUGCUGGAAUCGCAAAGAAGUAUGAUGGAAGAGCUAACCCGACUACUGACUAGUAAGACGGAUAAAGGAAAGAGCCCUAUGACCAAUGUUUGAAAUAACAAUGAAGAUUCCCUUUACCCCCUCUGGUUUUACCCCGGCAAACUCUCAAACGCAACAUGAGAUACACACGCAGAGGCUAGCUGUUAUUGAGGAUCCUCUCUACCCCCCUGGUUUCACUCCGAUGAAUACUCAAAUGCAACCCGAGCUACACAUGCGAAGGCCAUCUGUGACAAUCAGGCCCCAACAAUUACAGGUCGAUACCUUAAUGCCGAUGAACUAUCAGGCUGGCUCAGGUUCUAAUCUGGGGGAUAACCCGACUAACCCCGAUGUUCUCGAUCUUAAUGAUGUAAUAGAAGCGGAAAAGACAAGGGUGGAGCUUCCGAAAGAACUCGAAGAACGGUGUAGAUGGUUGGAUGAAAAAUUUAAAGAAAUAGAAAAUGCUGACUAUCGUGGUGGAAUCGAUGCUAAGGAGUUAAGCUUGAUUCCAGACAUGGUGCUUCCCCCCAAGUUCAAAACGCCAGAAUUUGAAAAAAACAGUGGAAUUAGCUAUCCAGAGGCUCACAUCACCAUGUUUUGUUGAAGAAUGGCAGGGUACGUUCACAAUGAUCAACUGUUGAUCUACUGCUUCCAAGACAGUUUGGUCGGGUCUGCGGCCAAAUGGUACAACCAAAUAAGGCGUGCUUAAAUCCAUUCAUGGAAAGACUUGGCACAAGCUUUCAUGAAGCAAUACGACCACGUGACAGACAUAGCACCCGAUCGAAUCACGUUACAAAACAUGGAGAAAAAACAAAAUGAAAGUUUCAGGCAGUACGCCCAAAGAUGGAGAGAGGUGGCGACGCAAGUCCAACCACCUCUUUUAGAGAAAGAAAUGACUAUGCUCUUUAUUAACACUCUGAAAGCUCCAUUUAUCAACCACAUGCUGGGAAGCGCUACUAAGAGCUUCUCGGACAUAGUAAUGUCAAGAGAGAUGACAAAGAAUGCAAUAAGAUGAAAGAAGAUUGAAACAGGGGAAAAUGCCAAGAAAUCAGCACCGAGAAGGAAAGAAAACGAGGUAAACAACACGAGUAUAUAUAAUAAGAGUUAUAACAAGCCAGUUACCGUGAGCCAACAGAGGACGGUGACUACCAGCCAUCAGGGCUCCGCAAGACAAGAUUUCAACUCAAGGCCUAACACGGAAAGAAUCUAGUUUACGCCUAUCCCGAUAUCCUACAAGAAAUUGUAUCAGAGCUUAUUUGAUGCCCAUGUGAUGUCACCUUUCUACUUGAAGCCUUUACAACCCCCAUUCCCAAAAUGGUACUACACAAAUGCCCAAUGUGAGUACCAUGCAGGGAUAACGGGGCACUCGAUUGAGAACUGUACCACGUUCAAAAAGUUAGUGGAAAAACUCAUCGAAAUGGGUGUCAUAAAGUUUGGUGACUUACUAGGUCCCAAUGUAGCAGGAAAUUCGUUACCCAUCUAUUCUAAUAAAGGGGUAAACACGAUAGUCGAGAGUGGGAGCAAAAGAAUCAAGAUAGAUGUAUCAGAGGUAAAAAAUCCCUUUUAAAUGGGUUUGGGAGAAGAUGGUGGAAGGAGGUUUAGUCACACGACAUCCAAGGAAAAGGCCUAAAGAAGCGAGAAGAUACUAUGAGUUUCAUGCCGAUAAAGGCCAUGACAUCCAAGAGUGCAAUAAGUUUAGGUCCAUAGUGCAAAAUCUGAUGGAUAAUAAGGAGAUGGAAUUUUAUGAAGAAAUUAGAGGAUUAAAGGAAAGAGAGGUUUACGCUACAGAGGAGGGAACAACCGAAGGGGUCCAAAGAGUUAAUCAUCCUGUAGUGAUCAUUUCGCGACCCAGGAACAAUGAAGCAGGAGUACAACUGGCGCCGAGAGUCAUAAUCCAGAAGCCGAUAUCCUUCCCAUACAAGGAUAGCAAAAAGGUUCCUUAGAAUUACGACUGCAACAUGACAAUCCCCGGGGGGAAAAGUACGACAAGUGUUUCACAAGAGAACCAAGAUGUAGGUUUCUAUACACGCAGUGGGAGACAUUAUGAUCCUGCGAGUACAAAAAAUGAAACCGUUAAAGAAAAAGCCCUAAUGGUUGAGCAAAGGAAUGAGAAGACGGUCAGGUUCGAAUCGCCAGUCAAUGAGUCGGUAACUAAGAAUGAAGCUAGGGAAUUCCUAAAAUUUUUAAAGCAUAGUGAGUACAGCAUCGUUGAAUAGCUACGCAAGCAACCGACUCGCAUCUCAGUGCUAGUCUUACUUUUGAGCUCAGAAACGCAUCGGAAUGCGUUAAUGAAAGUGCUGAAUAAGACUUAUGUCUCGAAUGACAUCUCUGUUAACAAACUGGAUCAUCUGGUUAACAACAUCAGUGUUGAUAUUUUUAUUUUCUUUAACGAUGAUGAAAUACCACCGAGAGGUAUGGGGUCCACAAAGGCUCUCCACAUUACCACACGUUGCAAGGGAUUCACAUUGCUGGGGGUAUUGAUUGAUAAUGGAUUGGCACUAAAUGUCCUACCUCUAUCCACAUUAAAUAGGUUGCCUGUGGAUAGUUUCCAUAUGAAAACAUGCCAAAAUGUAGUGAGGGCGUUCGAUGGUACCGAAAGGAAAGUAAUGGGGAGGAUGGAAAUACCCAUUUUAAUCGGCCCUAGCACGUACGAGAUAGAUUUCUUGGUAAUGGACAUCAGGCCUUCUUAGAAUUGCUUAUUGGGAAGGCCCUGGAUUCACUCAGCAGGGGCAGUGCCAUCAUCAUUACAUCAAAAGCUCAAAUUUAUAACGGAAGGUCGAUUGGUGACCGUAAAUGCAGAAGAAGAUAUCUUUACAUCCGUUACCAGCAAUGCACCGUAUGUGGGGACAGAUGAUGAAGCCAUAAAAUAUUCUUUUCAGUCGUUAUAAUUUGUAAAUACGACCUUUUUUGUCGAAAGAAAUAAGAUUCCGAUGCCCAGAAUCUCCAAAACUACAAGAAUGGGCCUACAACUGACGGUUGGGAAAGGAGCUUUGCCAGGGAAAGGGCUUGGAAGAAGCCUACAAAGAAAGGUUGAAGCACCUAUGCUCAUGGACAAACGAGACCGCUUUGGCUUAGGAUUCAAGCCAGAUGCAAAACAAAGGAGAAAAGAGCAAGAGAAGAAACAAGAAAGGAAAAGAGUGCGUUUAAGCGGGGAAGAGGUUAAGUGGGUGCCGAUGACCUUUCCUCACAUAUCCAGAACAUUCGUAUCGGGAGGGACUAUUCACGCUGAAGGAAUAUCGACAAGGAAAGUAUUUACUGAAGAAAUGUUGGAAAACUUAAGCAUUAAUGCCACAUACGAAGAGGGAACUGAAGUAGAGAAUUUGUCGGGCAUUCGCCCUUAUGAGCCGAGAAGUGUUCUGAAUAAUUAGACUGCAGAAGAGAUUCCUAUAGUCCUUAGAACUAACACAGAGUAAUGUCCAAAACACACCUAUUACUCUAGGCCUAGGAGUAAUAAGUGACCUUUUGUGAAAUAGGCUUGUGUUCAAAAUCGUUAUUUCAAUGAAAUGCAUCCUUUUUUCUUAUCUCAUGCAAAUAUUCUUUUAUUUUUCAUUCAUAAUCAUACUAUACACAUCAUUGUUCUUAGAUUCUUUGGUUCUUUGUAUCUUUCUUUAUACAUACAACAGGUCUCCAAAUAUCAACGAUAUGAGCGACGUUGCUACUAACUCAAAGUCUCCUUUUGAGCGGGAUAUGUGUUUAGAGGGAUCUUAUAACUUCGAAGAUGACAGAGACUGUAACUUAUCCCCUGAUUUGCUAAGGAUGGUAAAACAAGAAGAGAAACAGAUUCUACCUCACAAAGAGUCAGUAGAAGUCGUGAAUUUGGGAGAUAACCUAGAAAAGAAAGAAGUAAGAUCGGAGCUGGCAUUACCACAGAGAUAAAAUAGGACCUAUUUGAGUUACUCCAAGAGUUCAAGGAUGUCUUCGCAUGGUCAUAUCAAGAUAUGCCUAGGCUAAGUACUGAUAUUGUAGUACACAGGCUCCCCAUUAAAGAAGAAUGCAAGCCAGUUCAGCAGAAGCUCCGAAGGAUGAGUCCGGAUGUUUUGCUGAAAAUAAAAGAGGAGGUCAAGAAGCAAUUCGAUACUGGUUUCUUACAAGUAUUUAAGUACUCAGAAUGGGUGUCCAACAUCAUCCCUGUCCCUAAAAAAGAUAGAAAAGUACGGAUGUGUGUAGAUUACAGGGAUCUAAACAAAGCCAGCCCAAAGGAUAAUUUCCCGUUGCCUCAUAUUGACACCUUAGUGGAUAAUACGGCUGGUUACUCACUGUUCUCCUUCAUGGAUGGUUUCUCAGGGUAUAAUCAGAUCAAGAUGCAUCCUGAAGACAUGAAUAAAACCACAUUUGUAACCAUGUGGGUAACCUUUUGCUAUAAGGUGAUGCUUUUCAGAUUAAAAAAUGCGGGAGCAACAUAUCAGAGAGCCAUGGUAACCCUGUUCCAUGAUAUGAUGCACAAAUAAAUUGAAGUAUAUGUUGACGACAUGAUUGCUAAAUCCUGGACAGAAGAAGAGCAUGUGCAAGUUUUGAGGAAAUUAUUUUUGAGGUUGAGGAAGUUCCAAUUGAAACUCAAUCCAGCAAAAUGUACCUUUGGAGCCAGGUCAGGGAAACUGCUAGGAUUUGUAGUCAGUGAAAAAGGAAUUGAGAUUGACCAAGAUAAAGUCAAAGUCAUACAAGAUUUUCCUCCGCCGCGUACUCAAAAGGAAGUUCGGGGAUUCUUAGGGAGACUAAAUUACAUCGCUCGGUUCAUUUCACAGCUAACCGAGAAAUGUGACCCCAUAUUCCGUCUCCUUAAGAAACAUAACCCUGGUGUUUGGGAUACAUAGUUUCAGAAGACUUUUGACAAGCUUAAGCAAUAUUUGUCUAAUGCCCCAGUGUUGACACCAUCUAAUCCAGAUAAGCCACUGAUACUGUAUUUGACAGUAUUUGAAAAUUCUAUGGGAUGUGUACUUGGCCAACACGAUGAGUCAGGAAGGAAAGAAAGAGCGAUAUAUUACCUCAGUAAGAAGUUCACCGAGUGUGAGACGAGAUACUCGCCAAUUAAAAAGUUGUGUUGUGCCUUAAUUUGACAACCUGAAGGCUGAAACAAUACAUGUUGUACCACACAACUUGGCUGAUUUCUAAAUUGGAUCCUCUAAAGUACUUGAUGGAAUCAACUGCUUUAAAUGGAAGAAUGGCCCGAUGGCAAAUUCUACUUUCUGAAUUUGAUAUCGUCUAUGUAAAUCAGAAAGCUGUAAAAGGGAGUGCAAUAGCAGAUUUUCUAGCCAGUAGAGCUCUAGAGGACUACGAGCCUCUGAACUUUGAUUUCCCAAAUGAGGAUCUGAUUUACGUGGCAACCACUGAAGAAAACCCUCAAAAAGGUCAUCCUUGGAAACUAAACUUCGAUGGAGCAUCAAAUGCUGUGGGUAACAGAAUUGGGACAGUCUUGGUAUCCCCAGACGGAGAUCAUUAUCCCUUCAUUAGUAAAUUGGAUUUUGACUGCACGAACAAUAUGGCGGAAUACGAAUCGUGCAUCAUGGGCAUCCGUGCAGCCAUAGAACGCAAGAUUAAAGCACUAGAAGUAUAUGGAGAUUCUUCACUAGUGAUUUAUCAACUCAAAGGUGAAUGGGAGACGAGAGAUCCCAAAUUGAUCAAUUACAGAAAUCUGGUCCUUGAAUUAAUUAAAGAAUUUGAGAUAUCGUUUUCUGCUAUCUCCCUCAAGAAGAAAAUCAGAUGGCCGAUGCCCUAGCAACUUUAGCCUCUAUGAUCAAGGUGAACAAACAAGAAGAUGUGAAACCGAUCCAAAUGAGUAUUUACGAGGCUCCAACUUAUUGUUACAACCUCGAAGAAGAAGCAGAAAAUGAUGAUCACCCUUGGUACCACGAUAUCCUGCGGUAUGUGAAGAAUCGUGAGUACCCCGACCAAGCUACUGAAAACGACAAAAGAACAUUGAGAAGACUGGCCAGCGACUAUGUCUUGGACGGGGAGAUCCUAUAUAAAAGAAGGAAGGAUCAGGUACUGUUAAGAUAUGUAGACACUAUUGAGGCUAAGAAAAUCUUGAAAGAAGUUCAUGAGGGCGUCUGUGGGACACACGCUAACGGCUUCACAAUGGCUAGGCAAAUUAUGAGAUUUGGUUAUUAUUGGUCCACCAUGGAAGGAGACUGUAUUAACUAUGCCAAAAGAUGUCAUAAGUGCCAAAUUUAUGGAGACAAAAUUAAUGUGCCUCAUUCACCUCUGCAUGUUAUGACUUCUCCAUGGCCUUUUUUUAUGUGGGGCAUGGAUGUGAUCGGGCCAAUUUCACCAAAAGCUUCAAAUGGGCAUCGAUUCAUCUUUGUGGUUAUCGAUUAUUUCACCAAGUGGGUGGAGGCCGCUUCAUAUGCUAAUGUUACAAAAUCAGCAGUUAGCAAGUUCCUAAAGAGGGAGAUUAUCUAUCGAUAUGGAAGCCAGAAAAGAUCAUAUCUGACAAUGCAUUGAAUUUGAACAAUAGUACAAUAACAGAGGUCUGCAAUCAAUUCAAGAUCAGUCACCACAACGCGUCGCCAUAUCGCCCGAAAAUGAAUGGUGCAGUCGAAACAGCCAAUAAGAACAUCAUGAAGAUUGUGGGAAAGAUGACCGAAACUUACAAAGAUUGGUAUGAGAAAUUACCGUUCGCCCUCUAUACUUAUCAAACAUCCAUCAGGAGCUCUACUGGGGCAACUACUUUCUCAUUGGUCUAUGGAAUGGAGGCGGUUUUACCCAUCGAGGUUGAGAUUCCUUCCCUCAGAGUUUUGGCAGAAGUAAAGCUGGAUGAGGCAGAGUGGAUCCAGUCCCGAUAUGAUCAGUUGAAUUUGAUUGAAGAAAAGAGGCUAAAGGCAAUCCGUCAUGGUCAAAUGUACCAAAAACGGAUGAUGCAAGCCUACAAAAAAAAGGUUCGUCCCAGAUAAUUCCACGAAGGAGACCUAGUAUUAAAAAAGAUCCUACCUAUACAAAAAGACUUCAGAGGAAAAUGGAUGCCAAAUUGGGAAGGACAUAUGGUGAAGAAAGCCUUUUCUGGAGGAGCAUUAAUAUUGACCGAAAUGGAUGGCAAGACCUUACCCAAUCCUGUGAAUUCAGAUUCGGUUAAGAAAUACUUCGCCUAAAAAAAAGGGAAGGAAAAGCCAAUGUGAAAACUCACAAAAAGUACCUUGAGACCAAAGGGAUUUUGAAUUGAAAACCCGUAAAGGGCGAUUCAAACUUGGAUAGUUUGGGCCUGCGGUACUCUUGUAAUAUCUGAAUUAGCAAGAAGGAGAGAUGUUACAUCUUGGGGCAUCAACAAGAGUACUCUAGAUCCCCUAAACACAUAUUAGGCUCAAAAAAGGGUCUUUAAGAAGUUCAUACUGGGAAGUUCAUGCUACGAUAGUUGAGGCACCUGUUUUCCUUUUGUCUUCUAGCAAUGUUUAUGUUUUGUGAUUAAUCUAUUCCUUUAAAAUUUUGUUUCUGAUAAAUUUCAGUUCUGUCCAUUGUUACGAUCUUUCUCAAGCUUUUUGCAUUGAAAUAACGACUAAUGGACUAAUGACAUUUUGCAAAAAGAGUUUUGAAUAUUACUUUGAAAGUUUCUAAAUAAUACAGGAACCUGAAAUAGGACUAUUAUUUAGAGCUAACCAAACCCAAGGAUUGGAAUAUUUGAGAAGGAAGAGUUAAAUUGGGACUACCACUUCGGAUUUUCCGUCCAAAAUCUAAGAUGAACAAGAAGACAGGAUACAGUUUCAGUGACAGAACCUUGAUGAACAAAAAGCAUUAGCAACCCAAACAUUAAAAAGGGGUCAUUCUCAUAACAUACCGCACUCAUGCAGAUCAUUCAUGACAUACCUAGUUAGGAGCAUUCUGAUUCAUUUCGAUCAUAGCAUCCUAAUUAUUUGGCAUAAGCAUAGGUAUUUGAAACCGAUUCUACAGAUCAUACCCCUAGAAGAUGGUGUAACAAUGUCUGAAAAUUACAGAUCUUGUCCCCCUAAGCAGUAGUGGAACAGAUCGAAGAUGGUGAGCCUCAACCCCCUAAACAGUAGGGUAAUAGGCUGAAUUAUAAAUCAUUUCUUCCUGAAAUGGCGUUGGAGCGGCUCAAAGUCAUAGCAGAUCUCAUUGAAGUUUCAGGGAGUGGAUUGAAGUCACAAGUCUUAUCUCCUUGAAGUUGUAGUGGAGCAGACUAAAGAAAGCAAAUCUUAUUUCCCUGAAGUUGCAGUGGAACAGAUUCAAGCUAUAAACCACAGAUCUCAUCUCUCUGAAGUUGCAGUAGAGCAGAUCAAAACAAGUCUUAUCUCCUUGAAGUUGUAGUGGAGCAGACUAAAGAAAGCAAAUAUUAUUUCCCUGAAAUUGCAGUGGAAUAGAUUGAAGCUAUAAAUCACAGAUCUCAUAUCUCUGAAGUCGCAGUAGAGCAGAUCAAAACAAACUCUAUUUCCUUGAAGUUGCAGUGGAACGAUAGAGCAGAGCAAAGCGACAAGAUGCGGUGGGUUGAACGAGGCUACCUAAAGAAGAGAGGCACCAAAGAAGUCAAGAUUUGGCGGGACUGGGCAAAAUUGGUCUUUCUUAAAAGUCUUUGCUCUGUUCUCAUUACACGACAACGAGCAAAGAGGGGCAGCUGUUACAAGCCCAAUUUGCCCGGCCCGAAACCCAUUUCUAUAACCCCUAAACCCAAUUACAGAUAAACCCAAACCUAAAGCCCAAUCUAAAACUAAACCUAGCCCACCAAGCCCACAAUUUUUCAAUUCAAAAAAAUCAAAAGGAAACCCUAGGUGCGCCGCACCUAGGUCUGCUCUUGUCCCAUCCACCACCGACGUCUGCCACCACCUACUCAGCACUGCCCCAACUACUCCUGCAAGAUAGACACGCAAACAAUAGUGAAAAUGAUAAAAAAAUAUAUGUAAUGGCUUUAUAAAAGCCGAAGAGAGGAGAUUGUUUUUUUUUUCAGAUUUGGUCUUCGUAAAAUACAAAAAGAAACAUCAUCAAAAGACCUAAAAAAUAUUCACUCAAAUCGCAGUAAGAAAUAAAAGACAGAAUCAAAUGUCUAUUUUUUUUCUUUUUCAUUUUUCUUUUCUUUUUUUUCUUUUCUGAAUUUGUUUAUAUAUUCCGAAUCUAUCCUGCUAAAAACAAUAUAUAUAUUAGAUAAAAUAAAAAAUAAAAAAUAAAAAAAUUCUUAGCUUUUGGCGACACGGUGGCCGGCACUGCGGAGCCACGGUGGGGGUGGCCGGACCCCUUUGGCCGGUUCUGGGUUUUUCCCCAGAGAGAAAACAACUCCCCCUUUCCCUUUUUUUUUUGAAACUUGGAGGAAAUGAUGAUUUCACAAAAAAAAAUUUACUUUUAUAGCUCCUCAAUACGGCGUCAUUUUGGGGCAAACAUUCAAUCCCCAAAACGGCGUUGUUUAAUCACCUGACCCGGACUCCGACCCGAAAACUGCCUAGGAUCCGCAUGUUUUUGGACUGAGGGUCUAUUUGCGCCCUCAGUCUCUCCGCUUUUGAGGAUGUUUUCAAUGUAGUCCCAUUCUGUGACAGCCCUAAUAUGACCCUAGUCGAAAAGUGGUUUCGGGACCACAAAACCGAGUCCCAAAAAUAAUUAAAUGUUAUAUUCUGUGUUUAUUUCAUGUGAAAGUGCAUAUGUGAAAAUUUCAUGCUUUGAUUUUUCCAUUUGUGAAAGAAAUUAUAAAAAUAGGACUUAUGUGAAAAUUUCUGAAAAUGCUAUAGGCUAAUUUGUAGCGGCCAAAUAAUUUGUAGAGCAAAAUAGGAGGAUUUGCAUGUCAAACCUCCCACUUUUAUGUGUAAUGGCCGGCCAUCUUGUUAAUGGUAGACAACAUGUGCAAUUUUUUUAUUGAAGUUAUGGCAUAAGUAUGGCACAAUUAAUAUAUGCCAGAUAUGUGUCAUAAAAGGUUAAAUAAUAAGAAUAACAAAAGGAUGGAAAGGACAAAGUUUGUCCAUCUUUGUUCAUCAUAGCCGAAAAUAGGAGAGCAAGAGAGGAGGAAGCUCUUGAAAAAUUCGGUCACUUGGCGGAAGAAGAUGCAAGGUAAGUUCAUGGUAGUUUGCUUCUAUCUUGAUGUUCAUGAGUUCUUCUUGAUUUUACCUUAACUCAUGAAGCAUAUUUUGAUUUUUGGUUGUGUUGUGAGCAUUCAGUCAUGAAUUGAAAUGAGGGAAAUGGUUGUUGUUUCAUGUUCUUUUGAUGAAAAAUGGAAGAUAGGUGAAGUUGAGCCAAACAAAUGAGCAUGCAUGUGCCUUAGAUGCUAAGGGGGAAAAUCGGCUAAUAUGUUGUGUGUAUUAUGGCCGAAUGUGAACUUGGAAAAUAUUGAGUAAUGUUUGUGCUUUAAAAUGAUGAAAUGGAGAUUAUGCUUAAGUGAAGUUAUAGGUAUGUGAUGAUUGAUUUGUGAUAUGCAUGUUUAAAUAACGUGCAUGCAAGUUAUGUGUGAAAGAGUGAAUUGGUAAUAAAUCUGCUUGGAACAGCAGUAGUAACGUGAUUUUGGAAAAUCCCCAUAAAUUGUGAGAGAUGAGUUAGAAGCUGAAUAAAUUAUUUAAUUAAAUCUUAAUGAGUCUAGUUUCUUAUAAAAAAACCGUGUAAGCAAAAGAAUUUCCGAUAAUGAUAUAUUUGAAGUGAUGUGGGACAGGGUCAAAAUGACUUCUAGAUCCCCUGUUCUGUUUUUAUAAAAUCAUUAUAAAUUGUACACAAAUGGUUAUAAGAUGAAGUUUAUAUGCUUAGACUCCUUAAUGAGUCUAGUUUCAAAUGAAAUAAACGAUAACAUAUUUUUAAUUCUGUACAAUGAGAAAUUUGAUUCGUAGUGAAGAGUGGUCAGAUUAGUCAAAGAGUGAAACAAGGGAAACUUUAAGAAAAAUCUGGUAUUUAUUGGCCAAACCAAAAAUUCUGAAAAUUUUAUGGAUAAAAUAUAUAUGAGUCUAUUUUCAAGUAAAAUUAACGGAACUUGAUUUGGAGUUUCGUAGCUCCAGUUAUAAACUGUUGCUCAGGAAGAUAGCUUGCAGUAAAAUUAUGAUUAUGUGGUAAACAUUGACAAAAAUUUGUUAAUGAGUUGCUUAUUGAUUUCUUAUAAGCUUAUUAUGAUCAGUAAGUGUGAAAGUCGAAUAUAUAUAUUAUAUUUUUGAAAGUGAUGCUUGAAUAGUCGAAUAAUGACUAGUUUAAAAUCUUUGAAUUUAAGCUCAAGAGCAUAGAGGGGUAAAUUCGGAUAAGGGAAAAAAGAAAAUAAUCAAAUAGCCGUUGUAAUCGUUCGGCAACAUUCGAGGUAAGUUCCUAAGUGUUUAAGCUUGAUUCCUUUUUAUAUGCCUAAGAGUUAAAUUAAUAUGGCAAAGAGAAUGUAAAUUUUAUUUAGUUAAUGUGUCGAAUAUGUAAUGAUUUAAGGCUAUAAGCCGAUUAUGGCUAUUAUGCUUAAGCUGAAUUGGAUUUGGAAAUUUGAUGCACUAAAUGAGUGUUACAAUGAAUAAACUAUGCCGUAUAUGUGCUGGUAGAGAUAUCACGAUUUGUGAUUAUUAAAUAUCUAAAGGAAACCAUGAUGUGUAUAAAAUUAUUAUUAUUAGUCCUUUGUGGUAGCCGAAUGUGGCUUGGUACUAAAGUGAUUAAAUAUGAACUUCGAUGAGGUAACUGUUAGUGAUCGGUGAUAUAAGUUAUGCAUUAUAAUAUAUAUUCGGGUUUCAAACCUAACAGGCGUAAUGCAGUGAAAUGACAUCGGACUUAAAGGUCUAGCAGGCUUAUGGCCGGUGAUGAAAUUAGGUUAUUACCUAGCAGGCAAAUUGUCGGUAAACUAUUAAAAGUGUGGUGCUAUAAGACUAUGGGCUAAUACGAUAUGUGAAUUUGUUCCGUAAAGUAAAUUAUUCAGGUACGAACAACCUAAUUAAGUACAUGUGAAUUAAAUGAAUUUGAUGAUUGAUAUGAAUCGAACAUAUAAGAAAUGGUUUCAUGUUUAUGUUCAACUAUAAGACCUUGUGUUAAAUACACAAUCGAUUUCGUUCAAUACAUUAAGUUGGUCAGGUAUGCGAUAUGUACUUAUGCAUGUUAAAUCGAUUGGAAUUGAAUCAUGAAUGUGAAUUGAGAAGCAUAGGUAAAAAUUCCUAUGUCAUAUAUGUGAGUAAGGGUAAAACCAUCGUAAAUUAUUGAUAAGGAUGGGCUAUGUGCGGAACCAUCUUAUAAUUGCUAAUUUGAAAGGUUGUAUGCGAAUCAGUGAGCAAGAUGUAUUGUAUUGAGAUGAUGCUUCAGUGAAAAUAUACAUAUGUUUUUUGUGUUGAAUGAAUAUUAAAUUAAAGUUAUGAGCUGUUUGUGACUAGCAUAUCUAGUCGAAUUUGAUACUAUUAACUGAUGUACUAAGAUAUGUGUUCCAAUGUGGAAAUUAAACCCUAUAUGGUUGAAAGGAUGAAAAUCUUUGUUCAUAGAUAUGUGUUUCAGUUAUACAUGAUUGAAGUAUAAGUUAUGAAAGUGGGAAAGAACAGGUGAAUUGUUUAUCGAAAUAUGAUAUCGGGCUUCGGGCCUAGCAGGCUAUGAUGCUGGUGAAAUAUUAUUCGGGCCUUUGAGCCUAGCAGGCUAUAAUGCCAGUGAAAUGAAAUGUUAUGUGAAUUCGGUGUUCCUUGUAAGAUAGGGAUUUAGCCGAAUGUUAAAGAUGAAAUGAUAGUGUAUUGUAUCAUGCUUAUAUGGCCUAAUGGCAAGUAUAACAUGUUGGUAAAUAUGCAAUGUGCUUUUAUAAUCGAAUGAUAAGUUUGAAAUGAAUGUGAGUGAAAUGUUAUGCAUAAGCUAUCAAAUGCUAAGUGUGAAAAUGAGAUGAAAGAAAAGUGUUUGAGAUGUAUAAUUAUAUACGUUCGAAUGAUGUUAGUACUUAAUUGAUAUGAAUAUGUUAUAUGGAACUUGUUGAUUUGAUUAUUCGGGCCUUUGAGCCUAGCAGGCUAUAAUGCCGGUGAAAUGAUAUCGGGCCUCGAGCCUAGCAGGCGAAAUGCCGGUGAUUUGAGAAAAGUCUAAGACUAAGGUACCUCGUGUUAGAUUGACAAAUGAAUAUAUUCAAUACGUUAAGUGGGCCAGGUACGCAUUAUGUACUCAUAUGUGAGUUUGAUUUGAAGUGAAUCAUAAGUGUGUAAUGUGAUGUAUAUGUGAAUAAAUGUUAUAACUAUAUCUAUGAUCAUGAUACAUUUGGUCAAGGUGUGAAAGUAUGUGAUGGUAUUUGAUUUAUUUAUGUUAUAUGAAUUCAGAUUAAGUGUUAUAAGAAUGCUGAAUGUGCAUUAUGUGCAUGUGUAUAUUCGGCCAGAUGGCAACAUACCUAGAAUAUGGCCGCUUGAGAAAUUGAAUAAUCGAAGUAUAAUUGCGUUUAUUUGUUUGCAUUGCUUAAAACUUUCUAGGCUUAUGAAAGCUUACUCCGUUGUUAUAUUCCUCUGUUUUAUAGAUUGUUGACUCCAGUUACCUGCUCGGGUUGGAGUUCGCCGGAGAUAUUAUCACACUGUCGAGCUCACGCUAUUGGUGUAAGUAAAUCCUAGUAUUUCGAGUCUAUGGCAUGUAUAGGGUUUUAAUGUUGAGUAUGUGAUAUUAUAAUUUAGCCAAAGGUGUUGGCUUGUAUUGAUAAAGUGUUUUGGCCAUGUGAAUUGGCCUAUGUUGGCUAGUGAUGUUUUGGGCCUCGUAAGCCCAUAUAUGAGACACAUUUCAUGUGAAAAGAAAAGUUUUAAAUUGAUUGAAAUUUUUCGGCACGGUUUUUGUGUGAUUGACUGAGUUUAAGUCGGGUAACACCUCGAACCCUGUUCCGGCGAGGGAUUCGGGCGAGGGGUGUUACACAUUCCCUUUUUUAUUUUGUUAAUUUCGCCCUGGAAUUUCAUUAUUGUUUCAUCUGGGUCCCUAAUCGAACGGUGCGUUUUGGAUGGAAGGGUUUUACUUCCCAUUUGGUCCUCCUUGGUUACUCGCGCAUUUGCCUGGGUCCCUAUUUUAACCCCAGCAGUUUAUUUUAUUUGUGAAUUAUCCUCCUUAUUUUAAUUUGAUUUCAAUUAGGUUUUGUUUAGAUUCAUUUUUAUAGUUUUCUCUAUUAUUCGUGUUUAUUGAUAUUGAUUGCAUCAUUUGCAUAAUUUUGUUUAUUUAUUUGCUGUAGUCUAAUUAAUUGUAAUUUCACUUUUUAUAUAUUGUUCUAUGUUUUAUGCAUUAUUAUAUAUAUGUAUAUAUAUACCUUAAAAAUAAAAUUAACUUUAUUCUAUAUAUUAUUAGUAUUAUAUUAUUCAUAUAUAUAACCCCUUUUAUAUUUUAAAUACCUAUACUUGUUGAUUAAAAAGAAAUCACAUGUUUUGUACAUUAGUUAAAUUAUUAUUAUACGUAUAUGGUAACCUUGGUGCAUACAUCACUAAACUCAUGUAUAUUAUACCUAUAUUUUUUAUAAAUAAAUAUGUUUCUAAGCCCAUUGUAUAACUUAUAAUAAAACUAAUUUAAUCUUAUAUGCAUUUUCCUUUUAUUCUAAACUUAUUUACAUAUAUAUAAUUUGUGAAUCUAAUGUGUUCCUAAAAUUAUAUUUCAUUAUAUACUUUUAUUAUCUUUGCAUAUUUUUUAAUUCUCCUUUAUUGUAUAUAAGUUGUCAAUUUUAAACCAAUAUUCUUUAACCCUCCGUAUAUUAUUCGAUUUAAAAAUAUCCAUUCCAUAACAUAUAUUUUAAAUGAUUACAUAUGUAUCUCUAGUUUUAAAAUCCAUUAAUUCAUGUGUUAUGUAUUACAUGUUUAUCGCUAUUUUUAAUUUUGUUUUAUACCAUAUUAUUCUUUUAAUUUCCAUUUUGUUUUGUAUAUCUCGUAUUAAUUCUGUUAUAUUGGGUUGUAUAUUAUUGUGGCACAUUAUUGUGAGUAUCGUUUUGUUUGAUUUGUUUUGUUGUGAUGUAUUAUUAUAUUAUCAUUUUCGUCCUGUGUCGUUAUAGCAAUUAUCCUCCAUACAUGAUAGAAAUUGGGUUAUAUUUUUUAGGUUGGUCAUAUUCAAUUGUUUAUUUUAUUAGUUGAUUAUAUAAGGCUACAUUAUCUUCAUUCAUCAAUUAUUGUGUUUGGUGCGUGUAUUGUACCAUGAUCAUUGUUUUAUUUUUGGUUUACGAAAUAUUAUUUUAUAAGGUCCAACUCUUCAAGAUUAAUUCUUCCAUCUUAUUUUAAGUAAAAUUAAUGCGUUUUAAGCCAGUUUUAUAAUUCUUCCAUUCGUGUCAUAGUCACUAAAUUAUUUUUAAUUUGAGCUAAAGAGAUCCAAAUUAAGAUCCGUAAAUUUUCCCUGAAACUUGACUCACAUAUCUUUCCACCAUAAAAUCUUCAGAAUUUUUAGUUUAGCCAAUUAGUACAGUUUAUUCAUUAAAGUUUCCCCUGUUUCACUAUUCGACAGUUCUGACCUCUCUUCACUUAAAAUUAAUUAUCUCACAGUACAGAACUCGGAUAAUGUUCUCGUUGAUUUAUAUUGAAAAUAGACUCAUUAAGAAUUCUAAAAAUAUAAUUUUGAGCCUACAAUUAUUUUUCUCCAAAUUUUUGUGAUUUUCCAAAGUCAGAACAGGGGAACCCGAAUUUAUUCUGACCUUGUCUCACAAAAUUUAUUAUAUCUCAUAACUUACAAUUCAAUUGCUUACACCGUUUCUUCUGUAAGAAACUAGACUCAAUAAUCUUUAAUUAAAUAUUUUUUUCAUCAUCUGAUUCAAUUUCUACAAUUUAUGGUGAUUUUUCAAAAUUAACCUACUGCUGCUAUCCAAAACUGUUUUAGUUCAAGAUGUUUAUUACCAUUUUUCCUCUAAAUUUCACUGGUCAUACAAUUCAGUCCUUACUCAAUUAGCCCAUCACUUAAGCUAAUUUUUCUCAAUUAACAUUUUAUUCCAUCAUUCUAAACUAUUACACAACCUUUAAAAAUCAGAAUUUCAACACUAAACCUUAAUUCACAACUUUUUCACAAUUAGGUUCUAAAAUCAAUUUCUAUUGAAAUUACUUGAUAAAAUCAUCAAACAACAAAGUAAAAGCUUCAAAUCUAUUUUAUUUCAUCAUAAACAGCCAACACUUAUCAAUGGUAGCUUUCAAUUUUUUCCAUAAAAUCAAAAACUAAUGAAUUAAACACUUGGACCUAAUUGUAAAAGUCACAAAAGCAUAAAAAUCUCAAAGAAAAGGGAAAGAAUUGAACUCACAUAUGUCAAAGUAUGAAAAACAGCAACUUUCAGACCUCCCAUGGCUUUUUUGCU
rnacentral:lncRNA from 1 species